rnacentral:rRNA from 1 species
UACGUAGGGUGCGAGCGUUGUCCGGAAUUAUUGGGCGUAAAGAGCUUGUAGGUGGUUUGUCGCGUCUGCUGUGAAAAUCCGAGGCUCAACCUCGGACUUGCAGUGGGUACGGGCAGACUAGAGUGUGGUAGGGGAGACUGGAAUUCCUGGUGUAGCGGUGGAAUGCGCAGAUAUCAGGAGGAACACCGAUGGCGAAGGCAGGUCUCUGGGCCAUUACUGACACUGAGGCGCGAAAGCUAGGGGAGCAAACGGG